CCCAGCGUCCUUACCGGCCUUGCUGCAGUCCACGGUGAAGUGGUUCUUGUGGCCCAGGCGGGCGGCUGCCAGCCCUGGCCCCCGGGCCACGACUUGCCCAGCAUCCGACGGGGCCUUGGUGACCCCCAAAGGCAGGGGGGCCCCGCGAGCCCGCCCUCACCACUGGCUCCACCAGCACUGUCGAGGUCUCGUGCAGACUGUGCCCGCCCGACAGCCGUGGGCCUGGGAGUACCGGGGGUCUCGGUCAGCCCCCACCGUGGGACACCCCCUCACACUGUGCAGGGGGACAUCUUCCAGGGACAACCCCCCUUCCCCUGGGACCCCAUCAUGUCAUCCUGGGGCUCCUACACCACGUCACCCCCAGGACCCCCCACUCAUGUAACCCUGGUCCUGCAGGUGGCCUUCCUGCAAACCUCCGUCAUGCCCAUCACUGACCCCUCGUCACCCCACACUGGGGACCCCAUGUUCUCCACUCCCAGUCUCCCUUAUCCAUGCCCCCAUCCCCGUGUCUGCCCACACCCCAUCUGUACCAGUGACCUUGGCCUUGAAGGGGCUGCCCAUGAUGUGGCCCCAGUGGUUCCCAUGUCCCCUUCAGUUCCCAUGUCCCCGCUAAUUCCAUGUUCCUCUCUGUCCCCAUGUCCCUCCCAAUACCCAUGUCCCUUCCCAUCCCCAUGUCCCCCUGUUCAUACCAGUGACCUUGGCCUUGAAGGGGCUCCCCACGAUGUGGUGGGGGCCCCAUACUUGAUGGAGAUGAGGUAGUUGCCAGGAGCCAUCGGGGUGUAGGUGACGCGGUGGCCCUCGGGGACCUCUGUACAGUCCAGCUCCACUUUGGAGGGGCCAUCAAUGGUGACAGCCAGUGCUCCUGCCCCCGCAUUGGCUGUCUGCACCAGGAACUCUGAGGGCACCCCUGGGACAUGGACAUGGGGAUGGCAUCAUGGGGGCAACACCAGGAUGCUGUUGUGGUCGUCACCCAUGGCCACAUCUCCCUUGUGGCUCUGUCCCCAUCACCAUUUCACAGCCGUGUCUCUCCUGCCACCACCACAGCUGUGUCUCUGUCCCCACCCCGCUCCCACAGCCCUGUCCCUGUCUCCACAGCAGUGUCACCUGUGCGGCCACCCUCGAGGCCUGGCCCAAAGGCAGUGACGAGCCCAGGGUCCCCGGCCUGGCUCUGCUCGCCCACGCGGAUGUUGAAGGGGCUCCCGGGCACGUGGCGCCCAUUGAAGCGCAGGUCGAUGGAGUGCACUUUGGCGUCGAUGACACCGCGCGCCCCGUUCAGCUGCACCGCGAAGGACGCUGGCUGGUUCACUGCCACUGUCUCCUGCAGGCUGGUGACAGUGAGGCGUCGGGCGUCAUCGGAGUGGGAGGCGACAGGGACAAUAAAGGGGCUGUCAGGGAUGUGCUCCUCGUUGAACUUGAUGGACACCUCGUAGUC
rnacentral:lncRNA from 1 species